UCGAGCGAUGAAGCACCUUCGGGUGUGAAUUAGCGGCGAACGGGUGAGGAACACGUGAGAAAUCUGCCUUCAACACUGGGAUAACUCCGGGAAACCGGGGCUAAUACCGGAUAUGAAAUCUGCGGGCAUCCGCGGAUUUGGAAAGUUUUUCGGUUGAAGAUGAUCUCGCGGCCUAUCAGCUUGUUGGUGAGGUAAUGGCUCACCAAGGCGACGACGGGUAGCCGGCCUGAGAGGGCGACCGGCCACACUGGGACUGAGACACGGCCCAGACUCCUACGGGAGGCAGCAGUGGGGAAUAUUGGGCAAUGGAGGAAACUCUGACCCAGCGACGCCGCGUGCGGGAUGAAGGCCUUCGGGUUGUAAACCGCUUUCAGCAGGGAAGAAGCGAAAGUGACGGUACCUGCAGAA
rnacentral:rRNA from 1 species